UAGAGAAGUGCCUUUCUGGUGGGGAGUUUGAGGCUCAGGUUCUCUAGGGUGUUUUUCUGUUGUUGUGGUGAAGUGGACUCAGUGUUCCCCAGUGGGCUGCUUUUUCUUUGUGUUUCCUUCCAUCUUGUUUCCUCCCAUCUCUGUGAAAUAGUUUGAGUGACUCUAUGAGCUAGCUGUGUUGUUGGUGCCUCCUCAGUAUAGUGAGAGCCUGGUGGUGUGACUUCACUGUGAAGCUGUGUGGAAGUGACUGAAGUUCAGGAGCUGGCGGGCCUGCGUCUCAGCUGUGGAGAAAGUUUGGAAGAGGUCUGCCACCUGAGAGAACAUGUCUGCCUCCCCACCUGUUAAAACAGGAGUCUGAGGUAUUGGGGAAAGCAUUCUGCCAUGAAAGGAAGAUGACAGAGUGGGAACAAGGCCUGAGCGACCCUGCAGUUUUACCAAUGUGACCAUGCAGAGGAAGUGAGAGAAAAAGUAAACUGGAUGCUGAUGUUAAAGGCAUGGGUGCUCGAGUUGUAAAUAAAAACAAUGGGGGGGGGGCGGGGGAAAGGGGUUCAGUGAGAAACCUGCUACUCCAAAAGGCCCAGAUCUGGUGCCAAGAUAAAGCGCUCUGUAAAGGUGGUGUGACUUAGCACACAACGCAUUGCUGCAAGUAUUUUGGAGGAACUGUAGAAGGGAUGUCAGCACCGGCCACAGCAUUCCAAAGCAUCGCAUCUUAUGGGGACCAGGUUCUGUGGUGCACAGCAGAUCCUACGCCACACUUGGGAUUUCAAGCUGUCAUCUCAGCUUGACUGGCUCCUGAAGUGGCAAGUAUACAGAAAAAAGUCAACUAUGCGCUCCAGCCUUUUUUUGCCAUAAUGUGUAAGCUGUGGUGGUUGGCGAAGGAGUUCUGUGCCCUGGCAAGAACACUUUAAAGUAGUUUUGUCACAAUGCAAUGCAGUUUGGGAAGUUGUCUUGCCCUCUGCUGCAUCUGCAACCUCCUCCCUUCAUUGAGAGGAGAUAUUAUGAAGUUUGAAGCUACAAAUCUCUUAGGCAGAAUAGGAGCCCAAAAAGUAAAGGCAGCUGUUCACCUUGGAGGGAGUACGUCUGAAUGCAAAACUCAUCUUUAGGACUGAAGGAAGACAUCAAGCUCUUUCUUCUAAUAGGAGUGUGACUUUUUCUGUCUGGAACACGAUUCGACAAGGCAAUCAACCAUUUCUUCAUCUUUGAAGGUGCUGAAAUUGAACCUUGAGUUCAAAAGAACCAGUUCCCAGCCUGUCUCCAAGAACAGUUGCGUAGGGCUAAAAUCUGAGUUUCCUUUCUCUUACAUGAAUGUCCAAAGAAACCCCUCCUCCCUUCUCAGUUGAGUUUGGUGCUGCCUAGUCUUAAGAUUUGCAGCACUCAGUGGUGUGUGUACCUUAGGCCCUCAUAUUUUGAGAGGGAUUGCACUCCCCUUAAAUACUACGGGAAUCCCGUUUUUCUGUCUCAAGGGGGAAUGGUGUAAGGCACUUCUAAAUCAUUGCAGAUUGUGGUUGUAGUCAUUUGCCAUGUAAGUUAAGGCCACGCAAGUACCUUCUACUGUUUCAUCUUCCCUUUCAUUUGUAGUCUGGUUACUCCUAAAUACUACCUAUUGGGUGAAAUGUCCUAAGAAAACAUUACUUUUUGGUUUUAACAACUUCUUUUUCCUCCCCCCCCCCCAAGUCUGCCAUUAGCUGACAUGGUAGAAAGAUAGGCUUUUCUCUUCCAUUCUCAUGAAGUUGGAGGCGGUGCCAAUUUAAACUCCAGCUGAGGCUCUGCAGCGAUGCAAGUCUGUCUUACUACUUCAAAUUCAGUGAUGCUACCUGAGUUUCCAUUAAUUAGCUUUCAAGGAUUCAACCCAUUUAAAGCUUUUGGACAACGACAGUUAUUUGGAAACAUUCCUACGGGUUUAUUUCCUUCACCUACACUUGUUUGCUCUCUCCAUCCCAUCCAAAGCAGUCAGAACUGGUUGGCUUCUCUCUUCUCCAGAAACUUGCAGUAGGAACUGCUGUUAGAAUCAGAAUCUUGAUCUAAGAGCACGAUGUCAAAUGUUUCACUCCAAGUUGGAAAUUGGAGAGGAAAAUGUUCCUGUAUACAUAAGGAUUGUACUCAAACAGCUGAUUACACUUUUUCUUACACCUUAACGGAUGCUUACACCUUUUACCUUUAAACCUGAGAAGCAAUGGGUAGUUUCUACAUUUCCCUUGGGGAUAGUAUACUCUUCUGUAUUUUGCUUCUGUGCAAACAGUUAAAAAUUUUAAAGUCACAUUGUCAGUCAUUCACCCAAACAACCUUGCAUGACAUUACAUGUUUUCCGCCCCCCCCCACCCCCUCCCGGAUAGGUCAAGCCCUGAAGGCAAGACCGGACAAGUAAAUAAUGCUGACAUGUAAAAUUAACUUGUAAACACGUUACUUUUUAGCAGUUUUUUUUGGCACUCUGUGGGGCUUAACUA